CUGAGAGUCAUGUUCUUCCAACUCCUCUGUGUUCAAAUCUUUUUCAUCGCUGAUAUAUAUGAAGAUUCAAUACUAACCCAGCAUGCAGCGCCCAGCAGCUUGAUUCAGAUGCCCAGCUCGUCUCCCCAGCCAGCCUUCUGGAGUAGCUCCAUCAGCAGCGUCUAGACUCCGGAGUCUAAUUUAUCUUUCAGUCUUCUGGGAUAUUGCCAGAUAAUGGUCGUCACUCUGAACAAAAAAGGAAUUCUAAAGCCCUUUGCAUGACUAUCUGACUAUUUGAAAUAAAUACUCCUUUUUUUUAACCUCAGAAAGCCUUUUUCUUCAGAUGGCUUGACUUUGCCUAAUGGGUGUGGUCUUGGGCAAGCGUUACUUUGACAGUGAGCAAAAGGGGUCUGUGUGCCUGGGGCGUUCCUUUCAUUAAAGUUCUGGCUGCAACAUUCAACUCUCCAAUCCCGGCGUAGCCUGACAUGCCCUCAGAGGCCCCGAGUUUCAACUCUUGGCGCACUGUUACCACACUGUCAGGUUUGACAGGAUACAGCGUCAGUGUUCGACCCGUCAACUCUGAAAACCUAACAGUCAUUUUUACUGAUAUGCUGGCGCAGGAGAUAAAAGAAAGCAUUUACAGAAAUAGUCAUAGUGUAAAGAUUCAUGACUAGGUAUUAAAACACAUUCAAAAUAUACUUAAUUAUAAAAUACAAGUCAUAAAUGCUGCCAACUAAUAAACUUGUUUUCCUGUCGAUUAAAGAAUGUUAGCUAGAUUAAUCUUUGAAAGCCCAUAUAUAUUAGGAUUUACCGAAUUUUCCGCACUACAGGAUUAUGAGGCACACCUUGAAUGAACAGUCGAUUUUCAAGCUUGUUAGUGAUGUGCUACACGUUAGCCAUGCUAGCCACAUUAGCAUACCCAUAACUCCCAACUCUUGUUAUAACACAUAAAAAAUACAGAAUGAUACCGCUAAAAUAAACGUUACCGUGAACAUGCUAACUCCAACCUUGUUAUUAACAUGUAAAAAAAAAAA